rnacentral:miRNA from 1 species
AAACACUGGCAGUCUUGAUGG